CAGUAGCCGCGGGAAUACGUAGGGUGCGAGCGUUAAUCGGAAUUACUGGGCGUAAAGCGUGCGCAGGCGGUUAUAUAAGACAGAUGUGAAAUCCCCGGGCUCAACCUGGGACCUGCAUUUGUGACUGUAUAGCUAGAGUACGGUAGAGGGGGAUGGAAUUCCGCGUGUAGCAGUGAAAUGCGUAGAUAUGCGGAGGAACACCGAUGGCGAAGGCAAUCCCCUGGACCUGUACUGACGCUCAUGCACGAAAGCGUGGGGAGCAAACAGGAUUAGAUACCCCAGUAGUCCCUGUCUCUUAUAC
rnacentral:rRNA from 1 species